AGAAGCUUCUAAACCCAGACAGAAUAUGC
rnacentral:piRNA from 1 species